GCCUGAGUAGCUCAGUGGCAGAGCAAUCGGCUGUUAACCGAUUGGUCAUAGGUUCGAAUCCUAUCUCAGGCGCCA
rnacentral:tRNA from 1 species